AUGAAAGCUAUCCAAAGAACAGCAUUCUUCUUUGCAUUGCAGAUUUCAUGAGAAACUCCCCUGUGUAGAUCAUUGGAACAGCUCGUAUCUACAUGGCAGAACAUUUAAGCAUGCAGUUAUAGACACAUUGAAGUGCAUUUCCAAAUGCUUUGAUGAUUCUGGCUCGUUGUUGGAUCCUAAGGGCUGAGAAAGGAAAUAGGACAUAUCCAAGCUUAGGUUUUGGCUGGAAGAUGUUUGGGGAAAUUUGUCUUUCAAUAUAGAUAUAGAAAGCUAGCAAAGCUCUGGUACAGGGCGAGAAUUCAAACCUUGGAAAGUAGGAUUUGACCUGUACACACAAAUAUGUAAUUCUUUUUCAUAAGAACAACAACAACAACAAAAAAUCCAUUUAUAGAAACUAUUGUUCUGGGGAGGUAAACAAGCUACAUGGAUCUGAGAAAAAAAAUGGUGCAUGUCUACAUAAAGAAUAAGGAGCAAUCGCUUGCCUCUGCAAAUCAAUAAAAGUCAAGAAAUUCCAAAAGGUAGAAGCUUCAGACCAUAGAAAAGACGCUAGAGAUAACAUUUCUCUGCAAUUUUGUCUCUGGCUUUGAGCAAAGCUGACUGACAACAGAAUGAAGUACAAAGGCCUUGGAUAUAAUAUACUGCUCCUGUAGACUGCAAUGGUCUCUGCAGGCUCCAGGUCCUGAGCCAAGAGACCCUGGGCUUGGUUCAAAUACUCUCUUGAAGUUCAGCUGCCAGUAUUAUCAGCUUUCUGAGCAUAGAUAUGAUGGACAUGUGUAUAGAUUCUGUGGACAUCCUCGGGAAAAAACUCCAGCCAUGAUUGGACCAGCUGCUUUUUUAAUGACAAGCGCUGCCUCAGAACUUCUGGAGCCGAGUCUCCUUGCGCACUGCAGUGUCAACUGCCACAGCACUGAUGUACCUCUGGGUGAACAAGGACUGCAUAAAAUGAAAGGUUGCCUGUGACUGAAUAAAAGUGAGAAAAUGACCACUGCAGAAAUCAGGAGAACAGCAGAUUAUGAAAUAAAAUAUGGCUAAUUGUCUGGAGACAAUAAGCAAGUCAUUGCCUCAUGUCCAAAGGCUGAAUAUAGCAACUUUGCAAUGGAUCCUCUCAGUCUGAUGGAUUACCUUUCCAAUGGGGAAGAUGAAAGUACGUCUAUGUUUGGUAUAUAUAGUUGAUGAAAUUAUUGAACCAUCUAAUCAUUUUUUAUUUCUGAGAAAGAUUUAAAGAAUACAGGUUGUAUAGAAUAAAUAUUGAGCUACUGAAUGACUCAUUAAUAUAGAAUGCACAUUUUCAUUGGCCUAGAGGUGGAUUGUCAAAUGAUUUAUCAGCAAAAAUAUGUGACUCUUCAUUGCUGAAGAACUUUGCAUAUAUAUUAGAUUUAUUGAGUUAAGCAAUUGUAAUUAUCAAAUGGUUUACCUUUGUCUGACAAGUACCAACAUUCUACUCAUAACAUGCUUAUUAUUUUCUUUUAAAACUACUUCUAGUAAUUACUUCUAAUAUCUAAUUACUCCAUAACUGUAGUACACAUUCAUAAAAGUAAAAUGUAUAACAAAAAAAUUCUACCUUAAAAAUGUUAUGAAUUAUGAAGUAAUAGGAACAAAUAGAAGUGAAAUAUAUAUUUAAUUUGCUCACUGAAAUUGAGGGGAUGAAGGUCACAAGAUAUUUUCUUUCCCAAGUGAUAUUUCAGAUCACAGCUCCAAAGUGAUUGGAAGCUUCAGCCCUUAACUGUAAUAUUUUAAAGAAUAAGAUGAGUUUCAAACUGAAAAUAUCACAAAACAGUUUGCUAUAUACAUAUUCUGCCAGCCUCAUAUGUAGGUGAUGUCAAAUUAAAUGAAGUCGAAACUGACUUUAAAAUGUUCAAUAAAACCUUCAAGAAGAAAUUUGUGUAUCAAGUACUGUGCUCCAUAAGCUGGAGAUGUAACCAGAGAUACAAAUUCCUUGGUCCCAGUCUAUUCUAAACGGUACCUGAAAAUUCUCAUUUUUAAUAAUGUAUUCUAGGGCAUGAGAUACAGAAAUUUUCCCAUCUUCUAGGAAAUGACUUUUUAUAUUAUAUAGUCAUUCUGCUUGAACCUUCCACAGUAUGGUUUACCACAGAACCAUCCAACGGCAGAGAGAGCCAUUGUGGAAAGCACCUUAGUAGCAUACAUUGGAGAAAAGAAAUCUUUUUUUUUGGCUUCUUUUCAUUUUCCUGGCACCACACUUACACAUACUGAGCAGGCAUAAUACUCUCCACUUCUAGAAAUCUUUCACAGUGACAGAUCAGGAUAAGAAAAGCAACUUAGGGACUCUUUCAAGUCUUUGUUUUGUAAUUCAGUGUGUUGAAAUGUUUUCUUCGGAAGUAUUUGAUCCUAAAUGCUAAGGAGGUACAUGAUAUAAGGAAAAAUACAUUUGUCUCUGUGCAGGUAUAACUACCAGCAUGACAUCAAAAGAUAAAUUUACAAUGAAGAUGAAAAAAUUGGGUUCUUUAACACAACUCUGAUAUACAUACUGUAUUUUUGUUUCUUUAUUACCUGUUUCUAUACAAUAAAAAAAUAAAAUAAAAUAAAAUAAAAAAACAGAAACUGGAUGGUUGGGAGAAGGUUGUCUUAUGAACUUACUUAAUAAGAUUUUUCUUUGCACUGCAGUUACAAUUAUGAUAACUGUCACCUAAACUAAUAUUGUAGGAUUCACAGUCGUAUAUGGAAUUGUGUUUUUUGCUCUUUUAAUAUAAUUUAAUAUUGGUCAAGGUUAGACUACAAUUGGUCUAGACUGCAAUAACACUACCUUACUUGUCAGGCUAGUGACUAAAUUUUUCAUUACUGAAUAUAAAAAUUUAAUACUAUAGUGCAUACUCAUAAAAUCAGUAUUUUGAUGCUUUUGGGACAAUAGAUCUUAGCUAUUUACAUAAAUAUUUUAUGAUUUUUCUUGUAAUCCAUAAACUAAAAAGCUCACUGAAUGUCUAGGCCAAAGGCUAUCCAAUCUUCCACUGGAGUGUAAAUCUUUUUGUAUUCUUUUGACAAGCCCACUUACACAGAUUCAGAAUUUAGAUAGUCUCAUUUUCUUUCUGGAGGUGUAUAUAUUUUUCUUCCUUCCCUUUCCCUUUCCCUUCCCUUCCUCUCUUUCUCUCUUUCUUCGUCUUCUUCCUUCCUUCCCUCUUUUUUUUUUUCUGUUCUAUACUUUCUGUUGUUGUGUUUGUUUUUUGUCUGAUGAUGGUCCAGUUUUUGUGUAAUUUUUGUAGUCUGUUAGAAUGCCUCAAAACCUCAGCUCUUCAAGAUUAUAAAUGAUCUAAAUAAAUUAUCAUUUCUCAUGUUGUGAGUUAACUUGUCUUCAGACGAUGGAAAACAUAUCAUUAACUGCAACAAAU
ensembl:lncRNA